GUAUUGUUUCCGCCCAAGAGUGUCGGCGUGGAAUGAAUAAUAUGCCUGCUACUUAUUUUUGUGAUUAAAGCCCCCCCAUAGGACUUCUCCAUCUCAUAUUUAUGUAGCAGUGUUCCAUUAUCACCUGCAAAUGAAGUUUACAUCUCUCAACUGAUUCGAUACGCAAGAGCUUGUUCUGCGUAUGGUCAGUUUUUAAAUCAAGUCAACUUCUUCAACUGGUGCUGAUUCCCGUGUAAAGGGUAGAGGAAGGCCUAGAGGACGCGGCCGUGGCCGUGGUCGUGGUAGAGGAAGGCCAGCAGCAGCAAGAAGAGGCAGAUCAAACAGAAAAGAGGAGGAAGCUAUCCAACACACGGAGCAAAGAAUACAAAUUGCUAAGAUGCAUGUGCAGAACCUCACCCAUGAGGCAUGUCAGCAAAUGCUCAUUGAAGUAGCAUCUAGAUCAGCCAGUCUAAUUUUGGACAUCAUUGACAAGUCAAGACCUGGAGCCCCUGGUCAGUCUACAUCUGUACCCGACGUACCAUCCUGGUGUACCUGUAACCGCUGCCGUAACAUGCCUACAGAGGAAGAAAAGAUCUGUUGUGGCUGAAGUCCAGAACAGUGCACAACCCUUUUGCCAAGAAAAAAGGGCAUGGCGUCAGCCAAAAAGGGCAUGGCGUGACGCCAUGCUAGAUUGCUUUUAGAUUCAACACUAAUAUAUAAGGUGAAGAUAACGAACAGUGAUCAAUCUCAUAACUCCUACAAGCAAUACAAAAUAGAUAGUUGGGCAAACACGGACCCCUGGACACACCAGAGGUGGGAUCAGGUGCCUAGGAGGAGUAAGCAUCCCCUGUUGACCAGUCACACACACACACACAUAUAUAUAUAUUAUUAGCGGAAAAAAGAAACUGCAUUAUAAAAUUUAGUAUAUUUUUUCUAUAUGAUGUUUUUGAACAAUAUCGGAUAGUACCCGACUCAGAUGCACGGACUUUUUCAUGGUUAGUGAUCACAUGUUGUUUAUUAAAGUGUUCGUACGCAUGAUUUUUUUUACUGACCAAUACUGUUUGGAGUAAGAAGUGUAAAAGGUUUGUUUGGACACUAUUCGUUAAGGAAAGUUUUGACAAAAAUUACCCUUCUGUCAUGCCACGACUCUGCGAAAACCAACGUAAUCGUGCUGUUGGCAUGCUUCCAACUGGAAUGACACAACAUAUCGUAGCAAGACACUUUGGAGUCAUCGGAACACCAUCCAGUCAUUAUGGAGACGUUUCCAACAAUCUGGUAACAUUCGGGAUCGACCACGUUCUGGGUGUCCUCGUGUGACGUCGCGUCGACAGGACAACCACGUUAGACUUGUGCACCUGAGAAAUCAUUUCCAGACAGCAAGUUUGACUGCUCGUAGCAUUCCUGGACUGUGACCAAUCUGUCCAAGAACUGUGCGUAAUCGUCUGCGCGAGCACAACAUCAGACCAAGACGUCCAGCGGUGCGCCCAAUACUGCUUCAACGUCAUCGUAUCGCUAGACUAGAGUGGUGCAGACGUCAUCUGCAAUUCAGAAUACAGGACUGGGCCAAUAUUCUGUUCACUGAUGAAUCCAGAUUUCAUUUGGAUAGCAGUGGCGGCCGUUGUAGAGUGUAUCGUCGCGUUGGGGAGCGGUGCCAGGACGGUUGUGUUGUGCAACGUCGACAAUUCGGUGGAGGUAGCGUUACGGUGUACAACACGGGUGGAAUAACAGCACGUGGAAGGACCCCCUCUACAAAUUGUCAAUGGAAAUCUCACCGGCGUACGUUAUCGAGACAAAAUUAUUCAGCGCCAUGUGAUACCCUUCAUACAGAGACAGCGAAAUCACAUCAUUCUGCAGCAAGACAACGCAAGGCCACGUGUUGCAAGUGUAGUCAGGGACUGUUUUGUUCAAGAGAAUGUCGAUGUCUUGCCUUGGCCAGCUGUUUCCCCCGAUUUAUCGCCAAACGGAUUAAAUGGAACGACGUCUACGCCGUUUACCAAAUCAGUCAGUGACAUUGGCUGAUUUAGGCCAGGCUUUAACCAACAUCUGGAAUAACAUCCCUCAAGCAUUUCUGAACACUUUAGUGGCAUCAAUGAGACGCCGUUGUCAAGCAUGCGUGAAUGCAAAUGGUGGUCACACGCGUGAUUAACUUUGUUAAUUCAAGUUCGAAUACCAGUGUUUUUCGAGUGUGCUGAAAUUGACGUUAUUCGACGUAAACAUUAAUGGAUUAUGAAAUGUUGUAACGAAUACAUCUGUUAACGUAGUUCCACACUCCUGUGACGUCAUAGGAUUUUGCAAAGUCAAUGAUUUAAUGAUAGGAACAUAAAUUUUAUUGGAAUCUUUUUCAAUAGUUAUUGUAAAAAAUCUUGUUAGCCAUAAAAUAUUUCAAAAUUCUUAGUUGUGUUUGAAUAGUCAAUGAUAUGUUUCAAAAUAUUGAAUCCAAGGACAAUAACUCUGUUUUCAUUCAAUUAUUUAUCAAGUCCAUAAUGCGAUAGAUUUCCUUUAUUUUUGACAAACAUUUUACCAAGGUGAUAAGGAAUCAUUAUCUGUGUCUUUUCACGAAAUUACAUAACAUUUUAAUCCUGAGUGAUUUUAAUAGCUCAGCUGUAUGGUGCCAGACUUCAGUUUUUGAUGGGGGUAUACAUAAUCUGGAAGCUAUAGAUUUGAAAUUAUUAAGGAAAGGUAUGGAUUUUUCCCCAUGAAUAACUAUAACAGAUGUAACUCUACUAAUAUAAACAGAAAAAAUUAUAUGUAAACCAUGCUAUAAGGAAAAUGCGUCCACAUUUGUUUGUUUUUUAACAUUUUGGGGAAUAACGAUAAUUCAAUAAUUUUGCACAUAUUAUUCUAAAACUUGAUGAACAUAUUGAAAAUGACAUGUGUUUUAGUUAUUGACAUGUUUCCCGAUAAAUAAAUGCAAUUCAAAAAAUAUUUUGUUGUUUUUAUAUUAAAAUAACAACAAAUAACUGUUUCCAAUGAAUUUCAUAAAAAUCUACAUCGGGGUAUAUGACUUUAGUGGUGUAUGUAAUAAAACUUAAUAUGGAAACCCUUAA